rnacentral:rRNA from 1 species
GACAGAGGUUGCAAACGUUGUUCGGAAUUACUGGGCAUAAAGCGCACGUAGGCGGUCCGUUAAGUCAUGUGUGAAAUCCCCCGGCUCAACCGGGGAAUUGCGCCUGAUACUGGCGGGCUAGAGAUCGAUAGGGGUGAGUGGAACUCCAGGUGGAGCGGUGAAAUGCGUAGAUAUCUGGAGGAACACCGGUGGCGAAAGCGGCUCACUGGAUCGAUACUGACGCUGAGGUGCGAAAGCUAGGGUAGCAAACGGG